rnacentral:rRNA from 1 species
GAGACAGCAGCAGCCGCGGGAAUACGUAGGGUGCGAGCGUUAAUCGGAAUUACUGGGCGUAAAGCGUGCGCAGGCGGUUAUGCAAGACAGAUGUGAAAUCCCCGGGCUUAACCUGGGAACUGCAUUUGUGACUGCAUGGCUAGAGUGCGGCAGAGGGGGAUGGAAUUCCGCGUGUAGCAGUGAAAUGCGUAGAUAUGCGGAGGAACACCGAUGGCGAAGGCAAUCCCCUGGACCUGUACUGACGCUCAUGCACGAAAGCGUGGGGAGCAAACAGGAUUAGAUACCCGAGUAGUCCCUGUCUCUUAUAC